rnacentral:rRNA from 1 species
CUGGAACGCGCCCCAGGCGCACCCAGAAACCCUUUGUGAACUUAUACCUUACUGUUGCCUCGGCGCAUGCUGGCCCCCUGGGGGUCCCUCACUCCGGUGAGGAGCAGGCACGCCGGCGGCCAAGUUAACUCUUGUUUUUACACUGAAACUCUGAGAAAAAACACAAAUGAAUCAAAACUUUCAACAACGGAUCUCUUGGUUCUGGCAUCGAUGAAGAACGCAGCGAAAUGCGAUAAGUAAUGUGAAUUGCAGAAUUCAGUGAAUCAUCGAAUCUUUGAACGCACAUUGCGCCCUCUGGUAUUCCGGAGGGCAUGCCUGUUCGAGCGUCAUUUCAACCCUCAAGCAUUGCUUGGUGUUGGGGCACUGCUUUUUACCCAAAAAGCAGGCCCUGAAAUCUAGUGGCGAGCUCGCCAGGACCCCGAGCGCAGUAGUUAAACCCUCGCUUUGGAAGGCCCUGGCGGUGCCCUGCCGUUAAACCCCCAACUUUUGAAAAU